rnacentral:rRNA from 1 species
UACGAAGGGGGCUAGCGUUGCUCGGAAUUACUGGGCGUAAAGGGCGCGUAGGCGGAUGUUUAAGUCAGUGGUGAAAGCCCAGGGCUCAACCUUGGAACUGCCAUUGAUACUGGACAUCUUGAGUGCGGGAGAGGUGAGUGGAACGCCGAGUGUAGAGGUGAAAUUCGUAGAUAUUCGGCAGAACACCAGUGGCGAAGGCGACUCACUGGCCCGUAACUGACGCUGAUGCGCGAAAGCGUGGGGAGCAAACAGG